AAAAUUCAUUUUCAAAGUGAUAAUGACCCUGCUUAAUUCUUGGAGCCAAAUAGUUAUUUUCCCCACAAUGUCAAUGUCUCAGCAUUUGUCAAACGUCAAGUAUAAUCAUUUAAUAAACAGAUUUCAAAUGCACAGAUCCAACAAAUAUUGACACCAUCGAAAUAAAAUCUUUUUUCGUCCCGGGGUAGACAGCUGAAACAACCAACAAUAUGUCGCACUACAUGAUUUUCACUUGGAGAUGUUAUUUUUCACGGAAGUUAAUGCAUACUUUGUAGCAUAGAUCUAUAGACUUAGUAUUG